UACGUAGGGGGCAAGCGUUGUCCGGAAUCAUUGGGCGUAAAGAGCGCGUAGGCGGCCCGGUAAGUCCGCUGUAAAAGUCCAGGGCUCAACCCUGGAAAGCCGGUGGAUACUGUCGGGCUCGAGUCCGGAAGAGGCGAGUGGAAUUCCUGGUGUAGCGGUGGAAUGCGCAGAUAUCAGGAGGAACACCAAUGGCGAAGGCAGCUCGCUGGGACGGUACUGACGCUGAGGCGCGAAAGCGUGGGAAGCAAACAGG
rnacentral:rRNA from 1 species